rnacentral:rRNA from 1 species
GACGAACGCUGGCGGCGUGCUUAACACAUGCAAGUCGAACGGAAAGGCCCUGCUUUUGUGGGGUGCUCGAGUGGCGAACUGGUGAGUAACACGUGAGUCACCUGCCCUUUACUUUGGGAUAACUUCAGGAAACUGGGGCUAAUACCGGAUAGGAGCUCCUGCUGCAUGGUGGGGGUUGGAAAGUUUCGGCGGUUGGUGAUGGACUCGCGGCUUAUCAGCUUGUUGGUGGGGUAGUGGCUUACCAAGGCUUUGACGGGUAGCCGGCCUGAGAGGGUGACCGGCGACAUUGGGACUGAGAUACGGCCCAGACUCCUACGGGAGGAAGCAGUGGGGAAUAUUGCACAAUGGGCGGAAGCCUGAUGCAGCAACGCCGCGUGCGGGAUGACGGCCUUCGGGUUGUAAACCGCUUUCGCCGGUGACGAAGCGUGAGUGACGGUAAUGGGUAAAGAAGCACCGGCUAACUACGUG